UAUAGCUGCAGACCAGGAUUCAGUUUCACUAGCUCUUGCCCAAGGAGGUGACUACAGAUGCUUAGGCUGCUAUGAAGUCCUCUUUGCUUCCCAGGUUACUGCUUUAGUCACACCCAUAGAAGGAAUCCAGUCCAUGGAACCUGUGAUGGGAGCAAGCGUAUGGUUUUGCAACCUUGGGAAAAUCAUUCUGAAUCUAUUUCUCUCUCUAAAACUGGAACCACCUCAUCAGGCCAAUGGAGCAGUGUAUGAAAACAUAAAAAUGAUCGUGUACAUGAAUCCAAUAACGAAACAAAUGAUGAUGGGAUCUCUGUGUAGGAAGUUCUGACCAUUUGAACUUCUCGGAGGCCAUGGGAUUCAGAGAAAGGGAGAACUUGAAUGGGGAACUUGAUCUUCUCCAACCAAUAACUAGAACCACACGUCAACCAGCCUACCAGAUGGGGAGAGAAGUCCAGCAGGCACGAGACUUGUACUAUCAGGAGGCAUCUAUCACACAGUUCAAGCAAACUUGGCAGCUCCGUGGAAUCCACUGGCAUGCAAGGCCUUCAUGCUAGUGGGGGAGGAAGGCGGCAGGAGCAUUUGCCACUCAAAAGGCAAAGGUGCUCAGGACCUGUGAAAUUCAUGCACCUACCCUCCUGGACUCUCCACCUACGGGUCACACUGGCCAGCAGGUGGAGCUGCUGGUUCACCUUCUUGUCAGAGUCCGUGUAACCUGGGAAGGCCAGCUGGACAGGAGUUAGAAUCCUGUUUGAGUCAGGUCUUGAGCCAUUCUCUCCACAUGUUAUGGUCAAGCACCCAGUCUUCUAGUCAGCACUGUCCCCAGCUAAGCUUUGUCUAUAUAUGCUUUGACCUGUGCAGAGCAACUCUUACUUGCGCAUGCUCAGACUUGCUUAAUGGAGACUCCCUGGCAGAAGUCUUGUGUCGUGCAGAGAGUGAUAGGGGGGUGUGGGUGCAGUUUGUUGGGAAGAUUGAGUGAGUCUCAAAUGAGGUUUUAUUUGAAGGCAUAAUUGAACGCUUUAUUUUCUUCCCUCUCCAUUCAAGGAGAAAUAUCUCAUUUGUAGAAACACCUCAUUUGGGUGUCAGAGCCUCGGGCUAGGUCACUUUCUGUAAGUACAAGGUAAAGGAGCACUUAGGCACAGAACACUUUUACAAGUCACUUAUUCAGUUGUUAACAGGCACUGAAGAAGGAUUAGGACUACAAAACAAACAGAAACCCAUUCUAGGACUACAAGACAAACAGAAACCAUUCCUGCCUUCACCUUCAAUGUAGAGGAUCAUGAAAAAGCAAGGUGCAUCAGCAGGAAGCUGGGUCAGAAGCAGAGCAGCUGGGACUCAAACUGAAGCUCAUAUGGGAUGCCGGCGUGGCAGUUAGCAGCUUAACCCCUGGACCACAAAGUUAGCUGCAAAGCUGUGCCGGCAUCCUAUAUGGGUGCCAGUUCAUCUCCUGGCUGCUCCACUUCUCAUUCAGCUCUCUGCUAUGGCCUGGGAAAGCAGUAGAAGAUGACCUAAGUCCUUGGGUCCCUGCACCUGCAUGGGGGACCUGGAAGAAGCUCUUAGCUCCUGGCUUCAGAUCGGCACAGCUCCAGCCAUUGCAGCCAACUGGGGCGUGAACCAUUGGAAGGAAGACCUCUCUCUCUCUCUUUCUUUCUCUGCCUCUUCUUCUUUCUCUGUAUAACUUCGGCUUUCAAAUAAAUAAAUGAAACUUUUUAAAAAAGAAAGAAAAAUGCAAAUGUUUACAUGGUACAACCCCCAUAUCCUGGGUAAGAGGAGGUACUUCCUGGGGAGGGGUCCCCUGAUUGACAGGAAAAUGAAUAUGAAAACACAAAGUGAACUAGGUAUGACUUCGAGGUCAUUUAAAAUUACCUAUCUAAUCUUCACCACAUCAAUAAGAGGUGAUUAGUAUAAGUCUUUUCAUGUGAUUAAUGAGUUAUUGCCAGAGGUCUGCUAUAGAAAUUACUUUGGGGGACUGGAUUUGUGGUAUAAUGGGUUAAAUUGCAACCUGCAAUGCCAGCAAGCCAUAUGGGUGCCAGUUCAAGUACUGACCACUCCAAUUCUGAUGUAGUUCCUUGCUAAUGUGAGGGUGGCAGGGGAUGUCCCAAGUGCUUGCCUCCGAGCACCCAUGUGGAAAUGGGGAUGGCAUUCCAGACUCAGCAUUGGCCUCAUCCAGAUCUGGUCAUUUUGACCAGUUGGGACAUGAAGCAGUGGAUAGAGGAUCACUCUGUGUGUCUGUGUGCGUGUGUGUGUGUGUGUGUAUCUCUUAACUCUGUGACUGGGGCACUGGCUCACUCAGACCUCUGGCCAGGGCAGGGGGCAGGGUCCACUGAUCAAAGCUCUUGGGGCAGGAGGCCCCUGCCCUGAAGCCCAUGAUCCAGGCCUCCCCCGGCUGCCUCUCCUGGUCCCUUCAUGCUUGGUUCUGUUAGAGGCAAGCACCUGCAGGAGCCCCUGCCCCACCACGCACGGAAACUCCCCUGAAGCCCCCUCACCCACGCAGGCAUCACCGCCAUGCUAGCGUCCUUCAUGGUCGGGCUGUACUACAACACCAUCAUCGCCUGGAUCCUGUGGUACUUCUUCAACUCCUUCCAGGACCGACUGCCCUGGAGCCAGUGCCCGCUGGACCAGAACCUCCCGGGUGAGCUGCGCCUGGGGCCGAAGCCAGGGUCCUGGAGGGGCUGGGGGCAGGGAGCCCUGAGACUCCGCUCCCCCCAGGGCAGCCAAGGGAGAGGGAGGCCGUCAGGAGCUCGGGAGCACUUAGCCUCGGGUGCGUGCACAUGUGCUGCUCCCGCCGACACGCGUCACGGCCGCGCCCUGGCAGGCUACACGGAUGAGUGUGCGCAGCUCCUCCGUGGACUAAUUCUGGUACUGCCAGACACUCAACA